rnacentral:rRNA from 1 species
UACGUAGGCAGCGAGCGUUGUUCGGAGUUACUGGGCGUAAAGGGUGUGUAGGCGGUUUUCUAAGUUUGGUGUGAAAUCUCCCCGGCUUACCGGGAGGGUGCGCCGAAAACUGGGAGACUAGAGUGCGGGAUGGGAGAGUAGAAUUCCUGGUGUAGCGGUGAAAUGCGCAGAUAUCAGGAGGAACACCGGUGGCGAAGGCGGGUCUCUGGGCAACAACUGACGCUGAGGAGCGAAAGCGUGGGGAGCGAACAGG